rnacentral:rRNA from 1 species
AGUGAACGCUGGCGGUAGGCCUAACACAUGCAAGUCGAACCGCAGCACAGUAAGAGCUUGCUCUUACGGGUGGCGAGUGGCGGACGGGUGAGGAAUACAUCGGAAUCUACUUUUUCGUGGGGGAUAACGUAGGGAAACUUACGCUAAUGCCGCAUACGACCUACGGGUGAAAGCAGGGGAUCUUCGGACCUUGCGCGAUUGAAUGAGCCGAUGUCGGAUUAGCUAGUUGGCGGGGUAAAGGCCCACCAAGGCGACGAUCCGUAGCUGGUCUGAGAGGAUGAUCAGCCACACUGGAACUGAGACACGGUCCAGACUCCUACGGGAGGCAGCAGUGGGGAAUAUUGGACAAUGGGCGCAAGCCUGAUCCAGCCAUACCGCGUGGGUGAAGAAGGCCUUCGGGUUGUAAAGCCCUUUUGUUGGGAAAGAAAAGCAGCAGGUUAAUACCCCGCUGUUCUGACGGUACCCAAAGAAUAAGCACCGGCUAACUUCGUG